AGCUUUGUCCAAUGGCAGUAUGGUAGCCAAUGAAGUUUAUCCAAGGCAUGAUUAUUGCUAAGUAAAAACUUUUCCCAGUACCUGCCAUGACAAUUUAAAAUAUAGUUGUCAUUGGCAAUUUUUGACUGUCUGUACAGA
ensembl:snRNA U4 U4 spliceosomal RNA